UGUUGACCUGUGCAUGAAGAGGUAUUGAAGCAGUGGUGCAGUGAGAUUCACCACAGUGACACAAAUCCAUGGUUCAACCACAAUAUCCUAGAGGCUGCAUCUGAAAAGCAACAGCAGGUGGAUCUUGAGACAGUACUGCUGCUGGUGCUGGGUGCCGGCGGCAGCCUGCAGCUCCCCCCCGGCUUUGAACUCCCGUUUCCCGAAGCGGCACCAGGCGGCGAAGCUCUCGGAGUUCGUCCAGCAGAUCUCGUCGCUUUUUAAGCCCAGGUGCCCACAGGCGUUUUGCACCACCAGCUCGGCCACCAGCGGGCGGAAGCGGUACCAGCUAUUCACCACCCGGCCCACGUUGCCCGCGGCCGCCUCGUACAAGCUGUCCUGGCGGAUCUGGCCCUGGUGCAGGUGGAUGAUCUGCCCGCUGCCCACGUACACUGCCCAGUGCGGCGGCGGGUGCUCCGACGGCCCCAGGUAGAGCAGCUCCACGAGGUCCCCCGGCUUGCAGAGGGCUGGCAGGGCUGACACCGAGUAGACGCUGAGGUCCCCAGCCUGGGGGCCGCUGCUGACCUUGGAGAAGAUGCAUUCCUGGCCGCGGAAAGCAGAGAACUGGGUCUCGUUCAGCACCAGCUGGUGGUGGAGGUGGUGGGUGGGCGUCUCCUGGCCAGGGCUGCCGGAGCCCUUCACGCUGUACUUGUCUGGCUGGCCUCGCUCGUCCAGGUCUUCCUCCUCAUCCGAAAAGAAGUAAGCCACCCCGACGCGCAGCUCGUCUUUCUCAAUCCCCGAGGGGUCCCCGGUCGGCAGCUCGCUGUAAUUCAGGAUUAUCUCCUUCUCAAUGUUACUUUGAAUAUUCCAAAAUUGUCUGAUAUGCCAUCAUUUUCAUAUAGAGACAGAAGAAGCAAAGAAAGAGCAAAACUCGCUAAGCAGACAAACAGAUAAGACUU